UACGAAGGGGACUAGCGUUGUUCGGAAUCACUGGGCGUAAAGCGCACGUAGGCGGGUUGUUAAGUCAGAGGUGAAAUCCCGGAGCUCAACUUCGGAACUGCCUUUGAUACUGAUGAUCUUGAGUUCGGAAGAGGUGAGUGGAAUUCCUAGUGUAGAGGUGAAAUUCGUAGAUAUUAGGAAGAACACCGGUGGCGAAGGCGGCUCACUGGUCCGAUACUGACGCUGAGGUGCGAAAGCGUGGGGAGCAAACAGG
rnacentral:rRNA from 1 species